GUCAGGGAUGAGCCACUGACACAGAGGGGGUGGCACUGUGGGGCACUGUCCCUUUUUACAUGGCUUCAACAUUUGUGGAAGUUUGGAGUCAUUAAUUUCCUGAAUGUCUGCCUUUAAUGGAAAACAUGAUCUUUUGGGAAAGACAAACUGGGCAUAAAACCCUCCAAGUCUUUAUCCAGGUCAGAACAUUGAAUUGGAGAGGCCACAAAUCUCUUGGGAAUCAGGGGUAGAUCUGAUGCCACGAGCAAAAGCUGCUCCCAUUUCUGGGCUUGCAGUGGGUUAUGAACAGCAAGGAGAAUCCCAAUGCACUGCUUUAGUCCUGAGGUCAUGCCAGGCUCAGAGCCUGCAGCAUCUCUGCUGUUCUUUCUCCUGGAGCAAGCUUGCAAGAAGAGCUUGGUGCUGGAGGGAGCACAGUGAGGCUGACAGAGUUUGUGCAGGUCUUGUCACGUUGUCCAGGCAUGUCACGACAGAGACCCAAGGGAAGAGAAACCACAGGAGCCAGGAAAGGCUUUCAAACCAUCCCUGCUCUGCUCUGAGCUCUCUGGGUCACUGAAUUUAAGGGCUGCUCCCACACACCAGGAGACCUCUGUGUUUGUUGGGUAAACCAGGGGAGCAGCCAUGUGUAGACAUGAUUUAAGAGCCAUUCCCUCUUCCAGCAUGGAGCAGAAGCCGUGGAUAGAGGGACAUUGAAGGAUAUAGCCCAGGAGGGGGAAGUAAGGGCAGAUAUUGUUCUGAGCUUUUCCUCUGCGUGCUUCCAGAAAGGGCUCUGGCCUGGAAAAGGAUGUCAGGACAGGAAGGAUAUGGAGUUGGCCUCAGCUCUCACACAAACAGCUGAAGUGACCUUUCUCUAGCAAAACACCAACUCUUGCAGGAUGGAUUUCUUCUGAAGGGUGUCAGCUCUGGAAGAGCCAUUGCAUAUGCAGGGGGUAGAUACAUAAAUACACAUAAAUAGAGAGUUGCUAGAUAAACAGGUGAGUUAGUUGGUUAGUUAGUUAGUUGGUUAGUUAGUUAGUUAAUGUGGGGGGUACAGAAAGAGAGGUAGACCAAUGCAGCCUUCCCAGGGCUUUUAGCUGCCCUCGUUCACAGCCCAGGUUUUGUAGGUUUGGGUGCCUCAGGAAGGGCACUCUGUGUAUCUUCACCCCGCUCCUGAGUGUGGCAGUGUUUGCACAGUGUUAUUGGCUCACAACUGCUCCUGGCCUCCUUCCCUCCAUGCACAGCUCCCACACGGACAGGGAAACUGAGGCACACAGCAGCAAAGCAUGCUCUGAAGGUGGCAGAACACACGGGGAGAAAAGCCAGGCCUGGCAGAGCCAGGGGCCCAGUCCUCCAUUGUCUCCCCUGGUGCUGCCCUUGCUGCCUUGCUGGUGACGGUCUCUGUCACACUUCUAGGAAGAUGUCACCGCCUCUAAAGGGCGUCAGACGCCCACCUUGGGGCGCCUGCAUGGCGUGAGUCACGCAGGAAGAGCCGAGAGCUGCGAGGUGGGAGCUGGGCACUUUCCAGGAAAAGCUGGGUUGCAACCACAGAAGCCAUUUCCUUGCAGGCUCGAGCCAUUUUUCCCCUGCCAGAAACGACUGCUUUGCACAUGCUGAGCCCUCCUGAGGUGGGGAUUUUCUCCCACAUGUCCUCUCUUUCUCCCUUUCCCACCCUCUGGGCUGCUCCCAAAAGGAGCUCCUGGCUUGAGGACAGCCACAGGACCAUCUCUGCCUCAUGGCUCGUCUCUCCUCCUGCAGCUUGCCUGGAUUAACAACCACUCUCUGCAUCACUGAUCUGAUCUUUUUAGUUGGUUUUAACCCCAAACCAGGCACUGUCCACUAGGAAAAAAUCUCCAGGCCCCAUUUGGAGAGGUUUCCUGCAGGCUGAAACCUCUCUGAGGUGAAAAAUCCAUGUCUCCAGGCUCUUCCCACCAAAGAACUCUUUCUUUUUUCCGAGCUCUUCCCACCCAUUUCUCUAAGUGCAAUUUUUGGGGUGUUAUUCCCACUUCUGGACUGAAUUUAUCCCCAGAACAUCACAAGAUUUGUAGGAAAAUGCUGUUGGAAGAAGAUGGUUUGAGGCCGCUCUUGAGGGAGGUUGUUGGAUUUCCUUGAGGCUGAGAUCUGUGGGGGCACAAAUGUUAAUUUGAGUAAUUCCUCAUCCCUCACGUCCAGGGGAGGUGAAACAAAGUGGAAAACCCAGCCCAAUUCUUGGAACAGCCUUAGAUUGCAUUGUUUUUCCUAGCUGGGCCUGAAUCCUAGGCCUAACCCGAGGAACAGCCGUGUUAAUCUGAGCUUGGCUGCUAAGACACAGCCAAAAUUGUCAGAAAUACUCUGAAAACACCAAAAUUCCAAGGACUAUUCCCCAGCUGCAUCUCCCUGGCCCAGCCCAGCUUUCUGUGAGAGAUCCCCUUUGUUCCCAGGCCUCCUGACAGCCGUUGUGUGUGCUCCAUAAACAUCAAAUGGAAGAGACGCUUUUAAUGUAAUUAUAAUUUAAGCAUAAAAUAUGUCACUUCUGUAGGAUUUUGUUGUCUGGUGCGUAAUUACUUUAUGGCACUAUAAAAAUAUAUUGCAUUAUGAUGCCUUGCUGUGCUUUGCUCAAAUAAUUUAUAGCACAGUAAUAGUGUGGAACAAUAUUCCAGACCAUUGUAUCCAAUCUUGCAUAUAAAUAAAACUGUGGAAAAUAAUGAUCUUGGUUAAACGCUCAUUUAAUUAUUUUGCAGGCUUGGUUAAGGGUUUUUAUCCCUGUUUCAUUCCCACAUCCUCACCAGAUUAUAUUCAAACUAUCUAGAGGGAGAGCUUUUAAAGCUCACAGAAAAUAGAGCUAUAUAUGGAAUUUUUUAUAUAUACUGCCAUUUCCAAACAACUGGGGAAAAGAAGCGUUUGCUGCAGGGUGAGUGGAAUUGCAAAAAAUUUCCAAAAUUUCUUCCCAAGCAAUAUGUUGGAAACUCUUUCAGUCCAAGCCCACUGAAACAUUUUGGUGGCCUAAAAAAACAAGCCCAUUCCUUCUGCUUUUGAGGUUCUCAAUAUUUUUAUGCCCUUGAGACAGAACUUUAGUGACUUUUUGAAGCAAAAUGUUGAUUCAAAAAACCCAACCCCCUUCUUGCCUUAAAAAGAAGGAACUGAAACUUUACUCUCUCUUCUCAGCAUCCCUUCCUGGGCAUCAGCUUCGACCACAAAUGACAAAAUAUUUCCCACCUGCCCGUUCCUCAUCCCAUCCCUGAUCUCCUGCCCAGAUUAUCCUCCCAGGAAUCCCCUCCCAUCCUGGAUCAUUGCCUGUUUUGGGGCCCUCACUCAGAUUUGCUCAGUGGAGGAUGCUGAGGGUCUCCAGAGGGUUGAGCCUCCCCACAGGAAAGAGUCACCUCCACAAAAACCAUUUUAUUCAUAUUUUGAUGUUAUAUUUAGCAGUCAGACUGUGGGUGGAGUGGGGAGAAAUGUCAGGCAGGAGGACUCCAGACAAAGCAAGACUCACUGGCAGGGGGUAAAACUGAAUUUACAGCUCAUGAAGGACUGGGAGGACUCACUGCUAUUGCAGGGUCUCGCUGGAAGAAGGCACUGAUAAUUUUCCUUUUAAUCUCCGUGUUUUCCUCCCAUGUGAAGCCACAUGGAGAUGCCAUCCCUCACCCAUCAGGAUCUUCCCCAUGUUCUUUCUCCCUUGCCUUCCCCAUCCUCUUCCUCCUGGAGCUGGGGCAAGGAUCUAAAAAUAGUGGUGAGCCCCGUAUAUGCAUCUUCAGCAAAGAGACUCAUAAAUGCAGCCAGGACUGAAAAUCAAUUCUUUAAAGCUGAAAUCAAUAA